rnacentral:rRNA from 1 species
CCUACGUGUGGCAGCAGUGGGGAAUAUUGCACAAUGGGGGGAACCCUGAUGCAGCGACGCCGCGUGAGUGAAGAAGUAUUUCGGUAUGUAAAGCUCUAUCAGCAGGGAAGAAGAUGACGGUACCUGACUAAGAAGCCCCGGCUAACUACGUGCCAGCAGCCGCGGUAAUACGUAGGGGGAAAGCGUUAUCCGGAUUUACUGGGUGUAAGGGGAGCGUAGACGGCAGGGCAAGUCUGGAGUGAAAGCCCGGGGCUCAACCCCGGGACUGCUUUGGAAACUGCCAUGCUAGAGGGCUGGAGAGGUAAGCGGAAUUCCUAGUGUAGCGGGGAAAUGCGUAGAUAUUAGGAGGAACACCAGUGGCGAAGGCGGCUUACUGGACAGUAACUGACGUUGAGGCUCGAAAGCGUGGGGAGCAAACAGGAUUAGAUACCCUGGUAGUC